rnacentral:rRNA from 1 species
GACGAACGCGGCGGCGUGCUAAUACAUGCAAGUAGAACGCUGAAGGAGGAGCUUGCUUCUCUGGAUGAGUUGCGAACGGGUGAGUAACGCGUAGGUAACCUGCCUGGUAGCGGGGGAUAACUAUUGGAAACGAUAGCUAAUACCGCAUAAGAGUAGAUGUUGCAUGACAUUUGCUUAAAAGGUGCAAUUGCAUCACUACCAGAUGGACCUGCGUUGUAUUAGCUAGUUGGUGGGGUAACGGCUCACCAAGGCGACGAUACAUAGCCGACCUGAGAGGGUGAUCGGCCACACUGGGACUGAGACACGGCCCAGACUCCUACGGGAGGCAGCAGUAGGGAAUCUUCGGCAAUGGACGGAAGUCUGACCGAGCAACGCCGCGUGAGUGAAGAAGGUUUUCGGAUCGUAAAGCUCUGUUGUAAGAGAAGAACGAGUGUGAGAGUGGAAAGUUCACACUGUGACGGUAUCUUACCAGAAAGGGACGGCUAACUACGUGCCAGCAGCCGCGGUAAUACGUAGGUGGCAAGCGUUAUCCGGAUUUAUCGGGCGUAAAGAGAGUGCAGGCGGUUUUCUAAGUCUGAUGUGAAAGCCUUCGGCUUAACCGGAGAAGUGCAUCGGAAACUGGAUAACUUGAGUGCAGAAGAGGGUAGUGGAACUCCAUGUGUAGCGGUGGAAUGCGUAGAUAUAUGGAAGAACACCAGUGGCGAAGGCGGCUACCUGGUCUGCAACUGACGCUGAGACUCGAAAGCAUGGGUAGCGAACAGG